rnacentral:rRNA from 1 species
UACGUAAGGGGCAAGCGUUAUCCGGAUUUACUGGGUGUAAAGGGAGCGCAGGCGGUAUAGCAAGUCUGAUGUGAAAGGCCGGGGCUUAACCCCGGGACUGCAUUGGAAACUGUUAAACUAGAUUGCAGGAGAGGUAAGUGGAAUUCCUAGUGUAGCGGUGAAAUGCGUAGAUAUUAGGAGGAACACCAGUGGCGAAGGCGGCUUACUGGACUGUAAAUGACGCUGAGGCUCGAAAGCGUGGGGAGCAAACAGG